rnacentral:rRNA from 1 species
GUGAGUGGUUGAUGACUUAUACAUGCAAGUCGAGCGGAGAUGAGGUGCUUGCACCUUAUCUUAGCGGCGGACGGGUGAGUAAUGCUUAGGAAUCUGCCAUUUAGUGGGGGACAACAUUCCGAAAGGAAUGCUAAUACCGCAUACGUCCUACGGGAGAAAGCAGGGGAUCUUCGGACCUUGCGCUAAAUGAUGAGCCUAAGUCGGAUUAGCUAGUUGGUGGGGUAAAGGCCUACCAAGGCGACGAUCUGUAGCGGGUCUGAGAGGAUGAUCCGCCACACUGGGACUGAGACACGGCCCAGACUCCUACGGGAGGCAGCAGUGGGGAAUAUUGGACAAUGGGCGGAAGCCUGAUCCAGCCAUGCCGCGUGUGUGAAGAAGGCCUUUUGGUUGUAAAGCACUUUAAGCGAGGAGGAGGCUACCUGGAUUAAUACUCUGGGAUAGUGGACGUUACUCGCAGAAUAAGCACCGGCUAACUCUGUGCCAGCAGCCGCGGUAAUACAGAGGGUGCGAGCGUUAAUCGGAUUUACUGGGCGUAAAGCGUGCGUAGGCGGCUGAUUAAGUCGGAUGUGAAAUCCCUGAGCUUAACUUAGGAAUUGCAUUCGAUACUGGUCAGCUAGAGUAUGGGAGAGGAUGGUAGAAUUCCAGGUGUAGCGGUGAAAUGCGUAGAGAUCUGGAGGAAUACCGAUGGCGAAGGCAGCCAUCUGGCCUAAUACUGACGCUGAGGUACGAAAGCAUGGGGAGCAAACAGGAUUAGAUACCCUGGUAGUCCAUGCCGUAAACGAUGUCUACUAGCCGUUGGGGCCUUUGAGGCUUUAGUGCGCAGCUAACGCGAUAGUAGACGCUGGGGAGUACGGUCGCAGACUUAAACUCAAAUGAAUUGACGGGGGCCCGCMCCAAGCCGUGUUAA